AAAUUGAAGAGUUUGAUCAUGGCUCAGAUUGAACGCUGGCGGCAGGCCUAACACAUGCAAGUCGAACGGUAGCACAGAGAGCUUGCUCUCGGGUGACGAGUGGCGGACGGGUGAGUAAUGUCUGGGAAACUGCCUGAUGGAGGGGGAUAACUACUGGAAACGGUAGCUAAUACCGCAUAACGUCGCAAGACCAAAGAGGGGGACCUUCGGGCCUCUUGCCAUCAGAUGUGCCCAGAUGGGAUUAGCUAGUAGGUGGGGUAACGGCUCACCUAGGCGACGAUCCCUAGCUGGUCUGAGAGGAUGACCAGCCACACUGGAACUGAGACACGGUCCAGACUCCUACGGGAGGCAGCAGUGGGGAAUAUUGCACAAUGGGCGCAAGCCUGAUGCAGCCAUGCCGCGUGUAUGAAGAAGGCCUUCGGGUUGUAAAGUACUUUCAGCGGGGAGGAAGGUGUUGUGGUUAAUAACCUCAGCAAUUGACGUUACCCGCAGAAGAAGCACCGGCUAACUCCGUGCCAGCAGCCGCGGUAAUACGGAGGGUGCAAGCGUUAAUCGGAAUUACUGGGCGUAAAGCGCACGCAGGCGGUCUGUCAAGUCGGAUGUGAAAUCCCCGGGCUCAACCUGGGAACUGCAUUCGAAACUGGCAGGCUAGAGUCUUGUAGAGGGGGGUAGAAUUCCAGGUGUAGCGGUGAAAUGCGUAGAGAUCUGGAGGAAUACCGGUGGCGAAGGCGGCCCCCUGGACAAAGACUGACGCUCAGGUGCGAAAGCGUGGGGAGCAAACAGGAUUAGAUACCCUGGUAGUCCACGCCGUAAACGAUGUCGAUUUGGAGGUUGUGCCCUUGAGGCGUGGCUUCCGGAGCUAACGCGUUAAAUCGACCGCCUGGGGAGUACGGCCGCAAGGUUAAAACUCAAAUGAAUUGACGGGGGCCCGCACAAGCGGUGGAGCAUGUGGUUUAAUUCGAUGCAACGCGAAGAACCUUACCUGGUCUUGACAUCCACAGAACUUAGCAGAGAUGCUUUGGUGCCUUCGGGAACUGUGAGACAGGUGCUGCAUGGCUGUCGUCAGCUCGUGUUGUGAAAUGUUGGGUUAAGUCCCGCAACGAGCGCAACCCUUAUCCUUUGUUGCCAGCGGUUAGGCCGGGAACUCAAAGGAGACUGCCAGUGAUAAACUGGAGGAAGGUGGGGAUGACGUCAAGUCAUCAUGGCCCUUACGACCAGGGCUACACACGUGCUACAAUGGCGCAUACAAAGAGAAGCGACCUCGCGAGAGCAAGCGGACCUCAUAAAGUGCGUCGUAGUCCGGAUUGGAGUCUGCAACUCGACUCCAUGAAGUCGGAAUCGCUAGUAAUCGUAGAUCAGAAUGCUACGGUGAAUACGUUCCCGGGCCUUGUACACACCGCCCGUCACACCAUGGGAGUGGGUUGCAAAAGAAGUAGGUAGCUUAACCUUCGGGAGGGCGCUUACCACUUUGUGAUUCAUGACUGGGGUGAAGUCGUAACAAGGUAACCGUAGGGGAACCUGCGGUUGGAUCACCUCCUUACCUUAAAGAA
rnacentral:rRNA from 1 species